CAGCCGCCACGGUAAUACGUAGGGUGCAAGCGUUAAUCGGAAUUACUGGGCGUAAAGCGUGCGCAGGCGGUCCGCUAAGACAGAUGUGAAAUCCCCGGGCUUAACCUGGGAACUGCAUUUGUGACUGGCGGGCUAGAGUACGGUAGAGGGGGAUGGAAUUCCGCGUGUAGCAGUGAAAUGCGUAGAUAUGCGGAGGAACACCGAUGGCGAAGACAAUCCCCUGGACCUGUACUGACGCUCAUGCACGAAAGCGUGGGGAGCAAACAGGAUUAGAUACCCCUGUAGUCCCUGUCUCUUAUAC
rnacentral:rRNA from 1 species